rnacentral:rRNA from 1 species
AGGCAGCAGUGGGGAAUAUUGCGCAAUGGGGGCAACCCUGACGCAGCCAUGCCGCGUGAAUGAAGAAGGCCUUCGGGUUGUAAAGUUCUUUCGGUAGCGAGGAAGGCAUUUAGUUUAAUAGACUAGGUGAUUGACGUUAACUACAGAAGAAGCACCGGCUAACUCCGUGCCAGCAGCCGCGGUAAUACGGAGGGUGCGAGCGUUAAUCGGAAUAACUGGGCGUAAAGGGCACGCAGGCGGUGACUUAAGUGAGGUGUGAAAGCCCCGGGCUUAACCUGGGAAUUGCAUUUCAUACUGGGUCGCUAGAGUACUUUAGGGAGGGGUAGAAUUCCACGUGUAGCGGUGAAAUGCGUAGAGAUGUGGAGGAAUACCGAAGGCGAAGGCAGCCCCUUGGGAAUGUACUGACGCUCAUGUGCGAAAGCGUGGGGAGCAAACAGGAUUAGAUACCCUGGUAGUCCACGCUGUAAACGAUGUCGAUUUGGGGGUUGAGCUUUAAGUUUGGCGCCCGUAGCUAACGUGAUAAAUCGACCGCCUGGGGAGUACGGCCGCAAGGUUAAAACUCAAAUGAAUUGACGGGGGCCCGCACAAGCGGUGGAGCAUGUGGUUUAAUUCGAUGCAACGCGAAGAACCUUACCUGGUCUUGACAUCCACGGAAGUUUUCAGAGAUGAGAAUGUGCCUUCGGGAACCGUGAGACAGGUGCUGCAUGGCUGUCGUCAGCUCGUGUUGUGAAAUGUUGGGUUAAGUCCCGCAACGAGCGCAACCCUUAUCCUUUGUUGCCAGCGGUCCGGCCGGGAACUCAAAGGAGACUGCCAGUGAUAAACUGGAGGAAGGUGGGGAUGACGUCAAGUCAUCAUGGCCCUUACGACCAGGGCUACACACGUGCUACAAUGGCGCAUACAAAGAGAAGCGACCUCGCGAGAGCAAGCGGACCUCAUAAAGUGCGUCGUAGUCCGGAUUGGAGUCUGCAACUCGACUCCAUGAAGUCGGAAUCGCUAGUAAUCGUGGAUCAGAAUGCCACGGUGAAUACGUUCCCGGGCCUUGUACACACCGCCCGUCACACCAUGGGAGUGGGUUGCAAAAGAAGUAGGUAGCUUAACCUUCGGGAGGGCGCUUACCACUUUGUGAUUCAUGACUGGGGUGAAGUCGUAACAAGGUAACCGUAGGGGAACCUGCGGUUG